GAAGGCCACCGGGGGUGCUGGGCCUCUGGCCCGGCUGAGAGGAGCCUGGCUCCAACCCUUUGAACCUGAACGCGCGCUGAGGGCUUUCAGCGCUCCGGGUAAUGCCGGCGGAGGGAAGGUGGCGGUCGUGAGAC
rnacentral:ncRNA from 1 species